rnacentral:misc_RNA from 1 species
GCGAUAAGUAAUGUGAAUUGCAGAAUUCAGUGAAUCAUCGAAUCUUUGAACGCACCUUGCGCUCCUUGGUAUUCCUUGGAGCAUGCCUGUUUGAGUAUCAUGAAAUCUUCAAAGUAAAUCUUUUGUUAACUCAAUUGGUUUCUACUUUGGUAUUGGAGGUCUUUGCAGCUUCACACCUGCUCCUCUUUGUUCAUUAGCUGGAUCUCAGUGUUAUGCUUGGUUCCACUCGGCGUGAUAAGUUAUCUAUCGCUGAGGACACUGUAAAAGGUGGCCAAGGUAAAUGCAGAUGAACCGCUUCUAAUAGUCCAUUGACUUGGACAAUACUUUUAUGAUCUGAUCUCAAAUCAGGUAGGACUACCCGCUGAACUUAAGC